UACAGAGGGCCCGAGCGUUGUUCGGAUUCACUGGGCGUAAAGGGUGCGUAGGUGGUGAGGUAAGUCGGAUGUGAAAUCUCCAAGCUCAACUUGGAAACUGCAUUGGAAACUACCUUGCUAGAGGAUUUGAGGGGGGAUUGGAAUACUUGGUGUAGCAGUGAAAUGCGUAGAUAUCAAGUGGAACACCAGUGGCGAAGGCGAAUCCCUGGAAAAUACCUGACACUGAGGCACGAAAGCUAGGGGAGCAAACAGG
rnacentral:rRNA from 1 species